rnacentral:rRNA from 1 species
GCCCUACGAGGGGCAUCAGUGUUUAAUCUUGCGCAAUUUUUUCAACCCUGACGCAGCAACGCCGCGUGAUUGAAGAAGGCCUUCGGGUUGUAAAGAUCUUUAAUCGGGGACGAAUUUUGACGGUACCCGAAGAAUAAGCUCCGGCUAACUACGUGCCAGCAGCCGCGGUAAUACGUAGGGAGCAAGCGUUAUCCGGAUUUACUGGGUGUAAAGGGCGUGUAGGCGGGCAUGCAAGCCAGAAGUGAAAUCUGGGGGCUUAACCCCCAAACUGCUUUUGGAACUGCGUGGCUUGAGUGAUGGUGAGG